rnacentral:tRNA from 1 species
ACGUCGAUAAAUGGGUGGUUGUUCGGCCUUCUAAGCCGAGGGUGGGGGGUUCGAGUCCCUCCUGCCGUACUA